rnacentral:rRNA from 1 species
UGGUGGAGUGAUUUGUCUGCUUAAUUGCGAUAACGAACGAGACCUUAACCUGCUAAAUAGCCCGUAUUGCUUUGGCAGUACGCUGGCUUCUUAGAGGGACCAUCGGCUCAAGCCGAUGGAAGUUUGAGGCAAUAACA